rnacentral:rRNA from 1 species
UACAGAGGUCUCAAGCGUUGUUCGGAUUCAUUGGGCGUAAAGAGCGUGUAGGCGGCUUGUUAAGUCUUGCGUGAAAUCUCGGGGCUCAACCCCGAGCGGUCGUGAGAAACUGGCAGGCUAGAGUGCGGGAGAGGAGAGUGGAAUUCCUGGUGUAGCGGUGAAAUGCGCAGAUAUCAGGAAGAACACCCGUGGCGAAGGCGGCUCUCUGGAACGCAACUGACGCUGAGACGCGAAAGCGUGGGGAGCAAACAGG